AUUGAACGCUGGCGGCAUGCCUUACACAUGCAAGUCGAACGGUAACGCGGGGCAACCUGGCGACGAGUGGCAACGGGUGAGUAAUGCAUCGGAACGUGCCCAGUAUGGGGGAUAGCCCGGCGAAAGCCGGAUUAAUACCGCAUACGACCUACGGGUGAAAGCGGGGGACUGUAAGGCCUCGCGCUAAUUGGAGCGGCCGAUGUCAGAUUAGGUAGUUGGUGGGGUAAAGGCCUACCAAGCCUUCGAUCUGUAGCUGGUCUGAGAGGACGACCAGCCACACUGGGACUGAGACACGGCCCAGACUCCACGGGAGGCAGCAGUGGGAAUUUGGACAAUGGGCGCAAGCCUGAUCCAGCCAUG
rnacentral:rRNA from 1 species